GGACAUGGAACUGGUGGGAUUGCACCGUGGCCUGGGCCCCUCCUCUCCUGGCAGUGCUCACCCACAGCACAGGUUCCCUGGUCCAGGCAGCGCUGACUCAGCAGCCACAUGAGUUGUCGGCCAAGGUGGGAGACACGGUCAAAAUCACCUGCACUGGUAGCAGCAACUAUUAUGGCUGGUACCAGCAGAAGGUCCCUGGCAGUGCCCCUGUCACUGUGAUCUAC